rnacentral:lncRNA from 1 species
ACGAAACAUAAAUGCAACAACACAGUAGCAAUGGGUGGAUAAGAUUAAGUUACUGUCGUACUAGUAGCCAGUUCAGCGGAACAUCAUCCUGUACGGACAAAACGGCAUCCGUAGCUAGCAGACAAAGGGAUAGCAGGCUACAUCCAUCCUCAACAUUGCCGAUCCGAACAGGGGCUGCUGCCGUCGCGGGGAGCUUGAAACCGUCUGUUGGUGAUCUUUUUUUUCAGUCGCUGUUCCAGGGUUUUAUCCACGCUCCCCCUGUUAUAGAAUGGUGGGGGCUUCUUAAAGGGAUAUAUACCUUUUUUGGUUUAUUUGCCAAACUAAAUGAUGAUAGACUGGUCAGUGUUCUUCAUUCCUGGGCUUGGAGACCCACAUGGAUGUGUGCAGGGUUUUGAUCAAGCACAGCACUAACAUGCCUAUUUUAACAGUACCCUACUGUGCCCACAUGUAGCUGUAUGCUCUGUAAGGUAUGUUCCGGCCAGGAAUGGUAUAUAACAGCUCUGUGUGUUCUGUUUAGAUAUAGUUCUAUGGCUGUGUUUACACAGUAAGCCAAAUUCUGAUAAUUUUGCCACUAAUUGGUCUUUUGACCUAUCACAUCAGAUCUUUUCACAUCAGAUCUUUUUCAGAGCUGAUCUGUUUGGUGAAAGGACCAAUUUAGUGAAGAAAAAAAGAUCAGAAUUGGGGUGCCUGUCUAACACAGCCUAUGUGUCUUGUGGGGGAAUUAUUAAUAAAAUGUGUACAUGUAUACCAAGUAUGAAGUUGAGGGAUCUGUG